CCUCUGAAGCGAACUUCGCAUAAGUGACAGUUGGAAGGAGGCACAGUUAGCGGACGGUAUACGUUCAGAGGAUAGUGAUCUAAAUGUGGGUGAAUAGUUGAACUCAAAACGUGACAUCUGUAUGAACAUUUCGGCUAAUUAAAGAGGACAGGUUUGCUCAUUUAAUAAUAUAUGUAAGGAGUGUGAGAGCUGGAAUGAGAAAGCAUUGAGGAAUUUUAACGUCUCGUCUGACUAAGUGAGAGAGAUAGGAAGAGGAAGGCAGCCGCUAAGAGCUGAGGAUAAAGGUUUAGCUAGUAACUUUACUCCAAAGAAGACCCAUUUUUCUAAGCCCAAGGUGACUUGGUGCUAAACACACACAAAGAAGUUUGAAAGCUAAUUUGGAAGAAACCAAAUGGAAUGGAUUUAAAAUUUGGGAUUGAAAGAUUGCUACGAAAAAUUUAGCUACAGCUACAGUGAGGCAUGCAAGAUACAUACACUGUAAGUGAUACUCCACCCUUUGUAAAUUUAGCAAAUAAUUGUA